UGCGCAAGAAAUCAUACCAGGAGAUCAAUCAGAUGAGGGCAGAAUCAUCAAGGAUCCAUCUAGGGCGGUGUUAAUAUCAUUCAACAGUUGACCAAAGAAAUACCUGUGCACGAGAAGAUGAAAAAGGACAUGGAAAACCACCUGGAAUUGACACGCAGAUGAAGGGGGUCGAACAAGAGGCAAUUGAACAACUACAGCGCAUCAACCAAAUGGUUUUAUUCAAGUUACAACAACCGCCAUGUUGAAUUUUGACAUAAUACAAAUACUUGUUGUAAACAAAUUAUUAAUAAUGAUGUAUAUUGAUUUGGGAAUAAA